UACAGAGGGGGCGAGCGUUGUUCGGAAUUACUGGGCGUAAAGGGCGCGUAGGCGGCCUUCUAAGUCGAACGUGAAAUCCCCGGGCUCAACCCGGGAACUGCGUCCGAUACUGGGUGGCUUGAAUCCGGGAGAGGGAUGCGGAAUUCCAGGUGUAGCGGUGGAAAUGCGUAGAUAUCUGGAGGAACACCGGUGGCGAAGGCGGCAUCCUGGACCGGCAUUGACGCUGAGGCGCGAAAGCCAGGGGAGCCAAAGCGGGG
rnacentral:rRNA from 1 species